UACGUAGGGUGCGAGCGUUAAUCGGAAUUACUGGGCGUAAAGCGUGCGCAAGCGGUUUGCUAAGACAGGUGUGAAAGCCCCGGGCUUAACCUGGGAAUUGCGCUUGUGACUGGCAGACUGGAGUGUGGCAGAGGGAGGUGGAAUUCCACGUGUAGCAGUGAAAUGCGUAGAGAUGUGGAGGAACACCGAUGGCGAAGGCAGCCUCCUGGGCCAGCACUGACGCUCAUGCACGAAAGCGUGGGGAGCAAACAGG
rnacentral:rRNA from 1 species